GGCUGGUCCGAAGGUCAUGAACUAUCUCCAUUGAUCACAGUCAUUGCAGGUAGAACUCCUUUUCUACUGUUUCCCUACUUCUCACUACUGCAUUUGACUAGUCUUAA
ensembl:Y_RNA Y_RNA Y RNA